AUUGAACGCUGGCGGCAGGCUUAACACAUGCAAGUCGAGCGGAGAUGAGGUGCUUGCACCUUAUCUUAGCGGCGGACGGGUGAGUAAUGCUUAGGAAUCUGCCUAUUAGUGGGGGACAACAUUCCGAAAGGAAUGCUAAUACCGCAUACGCCCUACGGGGGAAAGCAGGGGAUCUUCGGACCUUGCGCUAAUAGAUGAGCCUAAGUCGGAUUAGCUAGUUGGUGGGGUAAAGGCCUACCAAGGCGACGAUCUGUAGCGGGUCUGAGAGGAUGAUCCGCCACACUGGGACUGGGACACGGCCCAGACUCCUACGUGAGGCAGAAGUUGGGAAUAUUGGACAAUGGGCGGAAGCCUGAUCCAGCCAUGCCGCGUGUGUGAAGAAGGCCUUUUGGUUGUAAAGCACUUUAAGCGAGGAGGAGGCUACCUGGAUUAAUACUCUAGGAUAGUGGACGUUACUCGCAGAAUAAGCACCGGCUAACUCUGUGCCAGCCGCCGCCGUAAAAC
rnacentral:rRNA from 1 species